UACGGAAGUUGAGGCAUUGGUGAUAUCUUCGAUAUGCCGUUUCUUUUCCCUGUCAUAAUAGACAACCAAUCCUGCUCCAGUGCAAACAAGUAAAAAGAAGCUCAUCCAUGAAACAGGACUACCCCGAAUAGACUUUCCCUGUUUAGUCUUCUGAGAACCAUCAGAGCUCUCACUGUUUCCAGAAUUAGUUCCGGCAGAAGAUCCACCUGACCCGGAAUUCGAUUGAUUACUAGAACUCGAGGUGCACAGAUACCUGUAAGAAAUCAACCCAUUUUCCAAUCGAUCCAAACGCAUAGCCAAUGGAGAAAGGGGUAAAGAUUUGGUGGUGGUGGGUGUAUUUGAAAGACUCUGUAAGAGAUGAAAUGAAGGCUUUGUUGAACGGCAUUUUUGGGAAGAAAUUGAGAGAUAGAGAUAACGAAUGUAUUGAUUUCUUGAUAUUGAUUUCGCCAUUGAUGUUUGUAGAUGAAAGCUUUGUUUGAAAAGUACAAAGAAGUCAAA
rnacentral:misc_RNA from 1 species